rnacentral:rRNA from 1 species
UACGUAGGUGGCAAGCGUUGUCCGGAUUUAUUGGGCGUAAAGAGCUCGUAGGCGGUGUGUCGCGUCGGCCGUGAAAACCUGCAGCUUAACUGUGGGCUUGCGGUCGAUACGGGCAUCACUGGAGUUCGGCAGGGGAGACUGGAAUUCCUGGUGUAGCGGUGAAAUGCGUAGAUAUCUGGAGGAACACCGGUGGCGAAGGCGGCAUCCUGGACCGACACUGACACUGAGGAGCGAAAGCCAGGGGAGCAAACGGG